rnacentral:rRNA from 1 species
UGGGGAAUAUUGCACAAUGGGCGCAAGCCUGAUGCAGCGACGCCGCGUGAGGGAUGGAGGCCUUCGGGUUGUGAACCUCUUUCGCUCAUGGUCAAGCCGCAACUCAUGGUUGUGGUGAGGGUAGUGGGUAAAGAAGCGCCGGCUAACUACGUGCCAGCAGCCGCGGUAAUACGUAGGGCGCGAGCGUUGUCCGGAAUUAUUGGGCGUAAAGGGCUUGUACGCGGUUGGUCGCGUCUGCCGUGAAAUCCUCUGGCUUAACUGGGGGCGUGCGGUGGGUACGGGCUGGCUUGAGUGCGGUAGGGGAGACUGGAACUCCUGGUGUAGCGGUGGAAUGCGCAGAUAUCAGGAAUAACACCGGUGGCGAGGCGGGUCUCUGGGCCGUUACUGACGCUGAGGAGCGAAAGCGUGGGGAGCGAACAGGAUUAGAUACCCUGGUAGUCCACGCUGUAAACGUUGGGCACUAGGUGUGGAGGCCACCCGUGGUUUCUGCGCCUUACCUAACGCUUUCAGUGCCCCGCCUGGCGAGUACGGUCGCAAGGCUA